AAACAUAAAUCCUGUAUAAAAUAAUUAUCUAUCUUCAAGUGGGGCAAAGGAAAUAUCCUUUGAAAAUUCAAACAAACUGGGUGUUUGUCUUAUAUCCUACCAGAGGAAGCAAAU
rfam:Myotis brandtii contig208972, whole genome shotgun sequence.